CAGCCCUAAACGAUGCGCGUUAGGUGUAUCGGUGACCACGAGUCACCGAGGUGCCGAAGGGAAACCGUGAAACGUGCCGCCUGGGAAGUACGGUCGCAAGGCUGAAACUUAAAGGGAAUUGGCGGGGGAGCACCACAACGGGUGGAGCCUGCGGUUUAAUUGGACUCAACGCCGGGAAGCUCACCGGAUAAGACAGCGGAAUGAUUGCCGGGCUGAAGACCCUGCAUGACCAGCUGAGAGGAGGUGCAUGGCGUAGUCGUGU
rnacentral:rRNA from 1 species